UAUCUCUGUAGAGUCUGCAUAUCAAUAAGCGGAGGAAAAGAAACUAACAAGGAUUCCCUUAGUAACGGCGAGUGAAGCGGGAAGAGCUCAAAUUUGAAAUCUUCAAGGUUUUACCUUGACGAAUUGUAGUUUAAAGAAGUGUUUUCUGUUGAAGUUUCGGUAAAAGUUCUUUGGAAUAGGACAUCAUAGAGGGUGAGAAUCCCGUAUUUGACCGUUAUUUUCAGCUGUGUGAUACACUUUCAAAGAGUCGGAUUGUUUGGGAAUGCAGUCCAAGAUGGGUGGUAAAUUUCAUCUAAAGCUAAAUAUUGGCGAGAGACCGAUAGCGAACAAGUACCGUGAGGGAAAGAUGAAAAGAACUUUGAAAAGAGAGUUAAACAGUACGUGAAAUUGUCAAAAGGGAAGCGUUUGACACCAGUGUUGUUUUCUCGAAAAUCAAUUAAAAAUGGCUUGAUUUUGUGUUGUAUUGACCUUAAAAGCUUUCUUCACUUUUUUCAUGUCUUUUUUAAUGCACUUUUCGUUUAACAAGUCAACAUCAGUUUCUUUUGUUGUAAAAAGGUCAUUGGAAGGUGGCUUUCUUUUCGGAGAAGGUGUUUAUAGCCUUUGACUUCUGCAAUCGGAGAGAUUGAGGUCUGCAGCGUAGAUCCUUCGGGGCUAGAUACGUAGAUGCUAAGUUAUAGUUUUUUAUAGACAACUUGUUGACUAUAAUUAAUCAUGUAGCUUACUCGUUUGCGCUAUUUUACCUACGCUUAGGAUGUUGAAGAUGUAGCACAUCA
rnacentral:rRNA from 1 species